UGAGGAAUAUUGCACAAUGGGCGAAAGCUUGAUGCAGCAACGCCGCGUGAGUGAUGAAGGCCUUCGGGUCGUAAAACUCUUUUGAGAGAGACGAGCAAGGACGGUAUCUCUCGAAUAAGGUUCGGCUAACUACGUGCCAGCAGCCGCGGUAAAACGUAGGAACCGAGCGUUAUCCGGAUUCACUGGGUGUAAAGCGCGUGCAGGUGGCCUCGUAAGUUGGACGUGAAAUCUCCCGGCUUAACUGGGAGAGGCCGUUCAAUACUGCGGGGCUUGAGGGCAGGAGAGGGAGGUGGAAUUCCCGGUGUAGUGGUGAAAUGCGUAGAUAUCGGGAGGAACACCAGUGGCGAAGGCGGCCUCCUGGCCUGCUCCUGACACUGAGACGCGAAAGCUAGGGGAGCGAACGGGAUUAGANACCCCGGUAGUCCUAGCUGUAAACGAUGGAUGCUAGGUGUCGGUGGUAUUGACCCCAUCGGUGCCGAAGCCAACGCGUUAAGCAUCCCACCUGGGGACUACGCCGCAAGGUUUA
rnacentral:rRNA from 1 species